GUGGGGAAUAUUGGGCAAUGGGGGAAACCCUGACCCAGCAACGCCGCGUGAAGGACGAAGGCCUUCGGGUUGUAAACUUCUUUGAUCAGGGACGAAACAAAUGACGGUACCUGAGGAACAAGCCACGGCUAACUACGUGCCAGCAGCCGCGGUAAUACGUAGGUGGCAAGCGUUAUCCGGAUUUACUGGGUGUAAAGGGCGUGUAGGCGGUCUUGCAAGUCGGAAGUGAAAUUCCCGGGCUUAACCCGGGCGCUGCUCCCGAAACUGCGAGACUUGAGUACUGGAGAGGAUAGUGGAAUUCCUAGUGUAGCGGUAAAAUGCGUAGAUAUUAGGAGGAACACCAGUGGCGAAGGCGGCUUUCUGGACUGUAACUGACGCUGAAGCACGAAAGCGUGGGGAGCAAACAGGAUUAGAUACCCCGGUAGUCC
rnacentral:rRNA from 1 species